GUCUCCAAGCCAGUCACAAGAGCAUCCCUGUUCUCUGCUGAAACCCUGUGAAUCGUGUUUACUCUCAGCAUCUCUGUCCAUAUUCUGAUUUUCCAAACUCUUGUCAGAAGAGCACAUGAAAGAAAAUAAAAAUCACCUUCAUGUUUACAUAAGAAAUGACAGAAGCAGUAAAAACGCUUCCGAUAGAUUCUGGGUCUCACUGCGUAGGAUUUGUGAAAUACAAGGAUGGGUGUAGCCGUCAAAUUAGCCACUUUUCUGAAGACUGAACUUGGAGUUUGGACUUCUCCUUUGUUUAGGACGGUCUGCUAGUUUGCUGAUAACUGUCACCAAAUUCUGGAAACAGCGAAGGAAACAGUCUCAUCUCUCAAGUGUCAAUAAUAUUCAUGUUGUUUUGUUGUGAGGGUUGAACAAAACUUUAAUAAUCCAAGAUAUCACUGUUACCUUGUCAGACCAGAGUGCCAUAGGGCAUAAGAUGUAGUGGGUAGCCAUUCCAGCUUGGAUCUGGAAGUUCCAACCCCCAUUGAGACUCUGGCAACUGUCACGCCUACGAGGCGGGGUGAGGGGAAGCGCUGGAAACCCGAGAG